rnacentral:ncRNA from 1 species
UACCUGGUUGAUCCUGCCAGUAGUCAUAUGCUUGUCUCAAAGAUUAAGCCAUGCAAGUCUAAGUACGAGCUCUCGUACAGUGAAACUGCGAAUGGCUCAUUAAAUCAGUUAUGGUUCAUUUGAUCGUACAGUUUACUUGGAUAACUGUGGUAAUUCUAGAGCUAAUACAUGCGAGAAGCGCCGACCUCGCGGGAGGCGUGCAUUUAUCAGACCAAAAACCGGCCGCGUCUUCGGGCGCGUUCGCCUUGGUGACUCUGGAUAACUUUGCGGAUCGCACGGUCUAGCACCGGCGACGGAUCAUUCAAGUGUCUGCCCAUCAACUUUCGUCGGUAC